ACUUUCAGAAGCCGGAUGGCAAUUGCAGUAUGGAGCUCUCAAAAAGCAAAGAUAAAAUAAAUUUUAAAAAAGAACAAUUACUGUUUCAAAUUCGAUGAGUUCUUAAUUAUCAUUAUCCUAUAAACAAAAUUUAAUUAUUGUUUUUAUUAAAGUUUAAAAAGUACUGACACCUCUUAUUAAAUAAUUACCGGCAAUCACCAGUUGCCGUCUUUGAAUAAGCCUGACACGUUCAAACUUUUUUUUAAUCUUUUUCCACCAUUACCAAUAAACAGACAAAUAUCUCGAGCUGCAAAUUUAGGCGAUGCAUCUUGACGGAACCAAGUUUUGAUCCUCCCUUCACUGACCUUGCUUCCUUUUAAAGGUUUAAGCUGCUUCUGGAAGAUGAAAAGAAAGUAUAACCAAAAAAAGAACUGAACUUUUGUUGAUUUUUUUUGGAUUGCUUGAGGUCUUGGUGACUUUUUUUGUUCUAUUGAUUUUUCCAAAAUGAUCAAGGCUUUUGCUUAGUUCUUUCAGACUUUAGCUUUUAUCUAUCCUUUGGGCUUGAAUUUAGACUGUAGUUGAUAAAGAGGGUUAUCUUUGUGUGAGCUUGGAUAGUGUAUCCUUCCAUGAGAUAUUUUUGAAGCAGGAGGGUAAUUCAUGAAAGUGCUGGAGUUUUGGGAUAAAAAGAACAUUACAUUUUACUUAUAAAUGGAUACUGAACAGUGUUAUAAAAAUUUACCUGGGAUGAUGGAUCAUUUAGUCUCAAGAGAACGAGAGCUUGAAAUAGAUAUUGAAAGUGGAGGGACAACUAGUGAAGAGGAUGGAUUGCAUGAUCUCAUUUCAACAAAUAAACAAAGUGAGAAACUCUUAAAUAGCGUUUGGAGUGGGCGUUUAGGUUUUGAUGGAUUGGUGAAUUCAUCAAAAUUUGGUGAUAUUGCUAAUGAGAAUGUUGAGUUGUUGCUAGGAAAAAAUAUAGAAGGGAAAGAGGGUCAACAACAGAACAUGGGUUUUGGGAAUAAGAAGGUUGUGGAAGAUAAACAUAAGAAAAAGAACUCUAGAAAGGCUCCUAAACCACCUAGGCCUCCUAAAGGUCCAUCACUAGAUGCUGCAGAUCAGAAGUUAGUUCAGGAAAUUACUGAGCUUGCCAUGAGAAAACGAGCUAGGAUGGAGAGAAUUAAAGCACUAAAGAAGAUGAGAGCAGCAAAAUCAUCAUCUUGGAAUAGCAGCGUUUAUGCCAUGAUCAUCACUUUCCUCUUCUGCCUUGUCCUUAUCUUUCAAGCUCGGUCCCUAAGCAUUUUGAAGCGUAAAUCUGGACGUUCGACUGAUAACCAAAGACAGAAGAUAGUGAUAUUUAACCUUCACUACUUGUUAUUAUCUUGUUAUAGUUGUGGUUAUUGCAUGGAAAUAUCUAAUAUAUUUGUAACCUUUCCUUGUCGAACUUCCCUUCCUGUCUGGUUUAGAAUUACAUGCAUUUGGACAUUUCAUUCUGACAACUCUACUUUUUUCAAUUUCAUUGUUUUUGAAAUUAGACCAGUCUAUUGAUUUGUUAACAUUAUAACCAUGAUCACAAAUCACCAUUUCUUCCCCGGCUAGCAGUAAAUCUAAGCAGAUGACAGAACAAGUUUGAUGGUCAUACUGGAUUAUGUUACUCUUGUGCUGAUUAUGUUUGUUUCUUUCUUGAUUGGAAUGUGUCGAUCAUUCUUGGAUAUAAAAUGCUGUUUGAAGCAAAUAGAAUGGUUCUGUUUUUGUUGGACUUCCAAACAAUUAUAAAUCCAUAUGCGAAAAAACAUAUGUAAAUGGAUGGAAAACUUAGAAGUAUCAUCUUUCUCUCACCACUUAUAUUCGGCAGUUAAAUGAGCAUUUGUUUCUCAGAAUAAGGAACAAAAUAAUCAGCAAGCUAUUUGUGCUCUCUUCUUUCCACGAGGAGGAUGCCCUUUUCUAUUUACCAUGAGUUCAACACCAAGUCUUAUGUCUUUAUUCCUAGUUCUCUGGUUCCUAUAGUUUAUAGCUUGCUGAAUUAAGCUACCUUGCUGUUUCCUGGCUCUCCUGAUCGCUUCUGUCUUUAUGAAUUCCUCUGGGCAGCUUGUUGUGUUCCAUUGCUCCAGUGAUGGUCAGAAUCCUAGUAAGAGUUGGACCUGAAAGUCUUUUCACUAUAUUUUAACCACACAUGCCUUGGUAGCUAAGAACAGGUGUUUAUGAAGUUCAUUCCAGGUUAAUGUACCAUCUUGAAGUGUAGCUUGCUCUAUUUUAAUCAGUAAGAGCUUGUUUCAUACCUUUUCAGCCUUUCAUUCUAACCCCAACCUACUCCCCAGGAUCAUACUGCUGCUGAUUUUUGCAGAAGGCUUCAGGAAUUUGCGCCAAAAGCAGUAGAAGUAUGUUUCUACAAGGAUCACCUGAACCAGCAGUUGCUGCAAGUGAAGAUUUGAUUUCAAUUCAAUUUUACAAGAACCCUGCCUUUGGA